UUAUGGCCAUAGCAUAUUUAAACACCAGUUGUCAUAUGAUCACCACAGUUAAGCAACAUCAAGCCUGGUAAAUAGCUGGAUGGGUGACCGCUUAGGAAUAUUAAGUGUUGUAA